AUUAAUCAAGGCCUUAACUCACUAAAUUGAAAGGAAAGAACAAAGAGGGAUUUAUGGUUACGUGAGUCUUGGAGUUCUGAAGAACUCAACCUUGCACGACGGCGGCCGGAAUUCAACCUUCUCCGACGAGAACUCCGAUCGGUCCUCACAUCUCUCGCAUCUCUCCGCUCACCGUCUCUCUCGCCUCUCUCAAUAAUUUUUCUGAAUCGAACUCUCUUCGCUUCCUCUCGAUUCAAAAUUGCGGCGUUCACCACCGCAAACAUCUCUUCGCUCAAAUCGUCUCCCUCAGAAUCUCAUCUCUCAGUUAUCUCCUGCCGGAGAAGUUUCGGCGACUCUUCCGAGGUGACACAGAUGAGUGAAAUUUCGGAAAGUCUCAAUCGUGAAAUCUAGGUUCGUUGCAAGUUGCGUGGUGCAGGGAUGAAGGUUCGAUGAAAGUGAUGAACACUGAUAUUAUCACAUGAAGGAGAAAACUCGGUGAUGACUGGCAAUUCGACACGUCGUGAAGUAGUUGAUGAAUCGUGAAGGUGAUUGAAGUCGUUGAUGUUGAAACGCUUACGUUUCUAGCACCGAAUUGAAGAUGAACGAGGAUGGAAGCUUCGAUUGCAGAGAAAUAUGAAAUCGGAGAAUGAAGGAAAGAGAUCGAUGAACGUCUCUGCAGAUUUUUGAGAGCUUGAUCGAAGAAGAGAAAGGAUUGAAAUCGAGAGAGAUGAAGGUUUUGUUGAAGAUUGAAGGAGAGUGAUAUUUUUCUGGAGGUGAUUGAAUGGAAGUGAUGAUGAAGGAGAUGGAGAGCAUGAGUUGAAAUUGAAGAUGAUGAAGAAUACGUGAUGAAGAACGGUUUAGAGAGAGAGAUGAAGUUUGUUACAGUUUUUGUUACAUCUUUUUUUUCUGCUCCCCCUUCUGAUACGUUUUUUCUUCUCUCCUUUUCCCCUCUUUGCUGAGCUGUGUAUCGGUUUGUUAUGCAGGCUGGUUCGGUUUAUUCAUUGCGGUUCGAGUUGCUCGAGUUGCGGUUCAACUUGAAAUGUACAAUGAUCAAAAGCCGAGAUACACUAUGGAAUAGGCUUAGUUUUUAAUCGUUUCAGAACAUGUUUCUUUUUGUCAUGGAUAUUGAAUAGUGAA